UACGUAGGUGGCAAGCGUUGUCCGGAUUUAUUGGGUUUAAAGGGUGCGUAGGUGGCUUAUUAAGUCAGGGGUGAAAGACGGUAGCUUAACUAUCGCAGUGCCUUUGAUACUGAUGAGCUUGAAUGAACUAGAGGUAGGCGGAAUGUGACAAGUAGCGGUGAAAUGCAUAGAUAUGUCACAGAACACCAAUUGCGAAGGCAGCUUACUAUGGUUAGAUUGACACUGAGGCACGAAAGCGUGGGGAUCAAACAGG
rnacentral:rRNA from 1 species